GGGCCUGUAGCUCAGUUGGUUAGAGCAGGGGAUUCAUAAUCCCUUGGUCCUAGGUUCGAGUCCUAGCGGGCCCACCA
rnacentral:tRNA from 1 species